rnacentral:rRNA from 1 species
UAGGGAAUCUUCGGCAAUGGACGGAAGUCUGACCGAGCAACGCUGCGUGAGUGAAGAAGGUUUUCGGAUCGUAAAGCUCUGUUGUUAGAGAAGAACGUUGGUAGGAGUGGAAAAUCUACCAAGUGACGGUAACUAACCAGAAAGGGACGGCUAACUACGUGCCAGCAGCCGCGGUAAUACGUAGGUCCCGAGCGUUGUCCGGAUUUAUUGGGCGUAAAGCGAGCGCAGGCGGUUCUUUAAGUCUGAAGUUAAAGGCAGUGGCUUAACCAUUGUACGCUUUGGAAACUGGAGGACUUGAGUGCAGAAUGGGAGAGUGGAAUUCCAUGUGUAGCGGUGAAAUGCGUAGAUAUAUGGAGGAACACCGGUGGCGAAAGCGGCUCUCUGGUCUGUAACUGACGCUGAGGCUCGAAAGCAUGGGGAGCAAACAGG